AGAAACGAGCUGAGCAAGAUAAGGGAGUUAGCUAAACACAGUGGAGCUAAAGUUAAAGUUAAAGCUAAAGUAAUGUUAAACUAAAUGCAGCGGUGGUUGGGACAGACUUCUGUGGGCGAGAAGAGGAAGGAGGAAACGAAAAAAAUAAAGUUUAACGCCAAAUGGCUGACGGGUUGUGAAUGGCUUGUGUUUGAUCACGAAAGUAACGUCAUGUUUGUCAGGAUUGCCGCAUGAACGCGAAAGAAAAAAACAAAACGAACAAUUUCGUGGUGGGAACUAAUAAUUUUAAAGUCAAGACAGUAAAGGACCAUGGGAGUGCCCAAAGUCAUCAGGAGAGCCAACGGAUUAAAACUGCCAAGACAGGUCGUAUCGAAGAGAGCCUUGCUGGGAGAAGCCUCCCUUUAUUGAAGACGUCUGAGUUGGAGGAGAUGCAGCUACUUUUUCGAAAUGCCCAUGCCAUCGGAAAAAAGGGCAGGCCUUUCACCAACUUUGCAUGGAUGUGUGAUCCCAGGAGGCCACGAACAUCAAUGUUGUUCUGAGGGCAAAGGCCAAGGGGUUCAUGAACAUAGCCAAGGAUGGUGGAGCGCUCAGGUUUUGCUGCCUUCUCCAUGACACCAUCUAUCAACUGAGCAACCUCUCCAAGUCACUGCAGAGGUUGUGUUGGUGUGUUUUCACCUCAGUACACACUCACUGCUAGAUUUGCUGAUGUGAACAGUGGUGUCCUGCAGGCUAUGCUGCUGACCAGUUUCCAGUGCUGGCCAGAGGCAGACACGAGUUCAGAUUUUGGUGAUGAAGAGGUAAACAAACUCAUCAGUCACUUCCGACCUCUUCUGCUGUCUGCUGCAGUGGAUGUGGAGUUGAUCCCUGAUCAAUGGACAGUUCUCAAGACUGAACUGUACACAGCAGGAUUCAGCCAAGGAACCUUUGAGAAGACCUGGCCUACUGUGAACAGAAUGCUGCGCCAUCGGUGUCCUGACGUCCUUAAUCUUUUUGAUGCUUUCCUCACCAUCCCUGCAACUACAGCUGACUGUGAAAGAGGGUUCAGUGUUAUGAAGCAGGUAAAGAGUGACUGGCGCUCAUGCCUGAAAGGUGAGACCCUCUCUGACCUCCUUAAAACCUAGUUGUGCUCACCUGACAUCAAAGACUUUGAUCCAAGCAAAGCCAUUGACAUCUGGCAUGCUGACAGUUUGCGCUCACGCAGGCCUCAGUUUGUGCGCAAACACUGAACAAAAGGAACUGAGGGUGGCUCAGAUUCAGAUGGGGGCUAUGAUGAAAUUAGUUCAGAGAGCUCUGAAGACAUUUGAUUCAGAAAUGAAAUGUUGGCACUUUCUGUGUAUAUUUUGUAU